rnacentral:tRNA from 1 species
GCCAGCAUGGUAUAGUGGUUUGAGUGUUGGACUACAACUCUGGAGAUUAGGGUUCAAUUCCCUGCUUGAG